rnacentral:rRNA from 1 species
AUUUAGUAGACAGAAACCUCGGUGGAAGAUUACUAAUGAGAGUGGCGAACGGGUGAGUAACGCGUGAGCAACCUGCCUAUGACAGUGGGAUAGCCUCGGGAAACCGGGAUUAAUACCGCAUAAAAUCGUAGAAACACAUGUUUCAACGGUCAAAGAUUUAUCGGUCAUAGAUGGGCUCGCGUCUGAUUAGCUAGUUGGUGAGAUAACAGCCCACCAAGGCGACGAUCAGUAGCCGGUCUGAGAGGAUGAACGGCCACAUUGGAACUGAGACACGGUCCAAACUCCUACGGGAGGCAGCAGUGGGGAAUAUUGCACAAUGGGGGAAACCCUGAUGCAGCGACGCCGCGUGAACGAAGAAGGUGUUCGUAUCGUAAAGUUCUGUUCUAUGGGAAG